rnacentral:rRNA from 1 species
CUGGCGGCGUGCCUAAUACAUGCAAGUCGAACGGUCUUUCUAUGGAAGCUUGCUUCCACUGAGAAGAUAGUGGCGAACGGGUGAGUAACACGUGGGUAACCUGCCCAUAAGAGGGGGGAUAACAUCCGGAAACGGGUGCUAAUACCGCAUAGUUUCUUGAUUGCAUGAUUGAGAAAGGAAAGACGGCCUUUGUGCUGUCGCUUAUGGAUGGACCCGCGGCGUAUUAGUUAGUUGGUGAGGUAACGGCCCACCAAGACGAUGAUACGUAGCCGACCUGAGAGGGUGAUCGGCCACAUUGGGACUGAGACACGGCCCAAACUCCUACGGGAGGCAGCAGUAGGGAAUCUUCCGCAAUGGACGAAAGUCUGACGGAGCAACGCCGCGUGAGUGAAGAAAAGGUUUUCGGAUCGUAAAACUCUGUUGUCAGAGAAGAACAAGUUGGAGAGUAACUGCUCCAGCCUUGACGGUAUCUGACCAGAAAGCCACGGCUAACUACGUGCCAGCAGCGGC